CAGCCGCCACGGGAAUACGAAGGGGGCUAGCGUUGUUCGGAAUUACUGGGCGUAAAGCGCACGCAGGCGGCUCGAUAAAUUAGAAGUGAAAGCCUUGGGCUUAACCUGAGAAUUGCUUUUAAGACUGUCGAGCUAGAAUCCAGAAGAGGGUAGUGGAAUUCCGAGUGUAGAGGUGAAAUUCGUAGAUAUUCGGAAGAACACCAGUGGCGAAGGCGACUACCUGGUCUGGCAUUGACGCUCAUGUGCGAAAGCGUGGGGAGCAAACAGGAUUAGAGACCCCUGUAGUCCCUGUCUCUUAUAC
rnacentral:rRNA from 1 species